rnacentral:rRNA from 1 species
GACGAACGCUGGCGGCGUGCUUAACACAUGCAAGUCGAACGGAAAGGCCCUGCUUUUGUGGGGUGCUCGAGUGGCGAACGGGUGAGUAACACGUGAGUAACCUGCCCUUGACUUUGGGAUAACUUCAGGAAACUGGGGCUAAUACCGGAUAGGAGCUCCUGCUGCAUGGUGGGGGUUGGAAAGUUUCGGCGGUUGGGGAUGGACUCCCGGCUUAUCAGCUUGUUGGUGGGGUAGUGGCUUACCAAGGCUUUGACGGGUAGCCGGCAUGAGGGGGUGACCGGCCACAUUGGGACUGAUAUACGGCCCAGACUCCUACGGGAGGCAGCAGUGGGGAAUAUUGCACAAUGGGCGGAAGCCUGAUGCAGCAACGCCGCGUGCGGGAUGACGGCCUUCGGGUUGUAAACCGCUUUCGCCUGUGACGAAGCGUGAGUGACGGUAAUGGGUAAAGAAGCACCGGCUAACUACGUG